rnacentral:sRNA from 1 species
GCUGGGUGUGGUGGCGGGUACCUGUAGUCCCAGCUACUCGGGAGGCUGAGGCAGGAGAAUCUCUUGAACCCAGGAGGUGGAGCUUGCAGUGAGCCGAGAUCGUGCCACUGCACUCCAGCCUGGGUGACAGAGUGAGACUCUGUCUCUA